CCUAUAACCAAAGGAGCUAGUCCAAGCUCUAAGACUUCUA
rnacentral:tRNA from 1 species